rnacentral:rRNA from 1 species
AUUGAACGCUGGCGGCAUGCUUUACACAUGCAAGUCGAACGGCAGCGCGGUCUUCGGCCUGGCUGCGAGUGGCGCACGGGUGUGUAUUGCAUCGGAACGUCCCCAGCUGUGGUGUAUAGCCCGGCGAAAGCCGGAUUAAUACCGCAUACGACCUGAGGGUGAAAGCGGGGGACCGAAAGGCCUUUCGCUAUUUUAGCGGUCGAUGUCGGAUUAGCUAGUUGGUGGGGUAAAGGCUUACCAAGGCGACGAUCCGUAGCUGGUCUGAGAGGACGACAAGCCACACGGGAACGGAGACACGGCCCAGACUCCUAAGGGAGGCAGCAGUGGGGAAUGUUGGACAAUGGGGGCAACCCUGAUCCAGCCAUGCCGCGUGCGAGAAGAAGGCCUUCGGGUUGUAAACCGCUUUUGUUGGGGAAGAAAAGCUCUGGGCUAAUACCCCGGGGGGAUGACGGUACCGGAAGAAUAAGCACCGGCUAACUACGUG